rfam:Streptomyces sp. NRRL S-495 contig275.1, whole genome shotgun sequence.
CUUCAGCGAACCGAUCCACACCGGACGGUCCACCGGACGGUCCUGACCGUACGUCGCCAGCAGCGCCUGCGCCUC